rnacentral:rRNA from 1 species
UGUAACCUACGGGAGGCAGCAGUGAGGAAUAUUGGUCAAUGGCCGGGAGGCUGAACCAGCCAAGUCGCGUGAGGGAGGACGGCCCUACGGGUUGUAAACCUCUUUUGUCAGGGAGCAAGGUGCAGGUCGUGACCUGUUGUGAGAGUACCUGAAGAAAAAGCAUCGGCUAACUCCGUGCCAGCAGCCGCGGUAAUACGGAGGAUGCGAGCGUUAUCCGGAUUUACUGGGUGUAAAGGGAGCGUAGACGGUUAUGUAAGUCUGGAGUGAAAGCCCGGGGCCCAACCCCGGGACUGCUUUGGAA